rnacentral:rRNA from 1 species
GGUUGACCUCGGAUCAGGUAGGAAGACCCGCUGAACUU